UACACGCUGUGACUAGCAUAUCAAUAAGCGGAGGAAAAGAAACUAACAAGGAUUCCCCUAGUAACGGCGAGUGAAGCGGGAAGAGCUCAAAUUUGAAAUCUUGAAAGGUCACCUUUCACGAAUUGUAGUUUAAAGAAGUGUUUUCUGUUACGAUCGUAAUAUAAGUUCUUUGGAAUAGGACAUCACAGAGGGUGAGAAUCCCGUCUAUGAUUGCGAUUUGUAGCUUUGUGAUACACUUUCAAAGAGUCGGGUUGUUUGGGAAUGCAGCCCAAAACGGGAGGUAAAUUUCUUCUAAGGCUAAAUAUUGGCGAGAGACCGAUAGCGAACAAGUACCGUGAGGGAAAGAUGAAAAGAACUUUGAAAAGAGAGUUAAAUAGUACGUGAAAUUGUCAAAAGGGAAGCGUUUGACACCAGUGUUGUUUUCUCGAAAAUCAAUUAAAAAUGGCUCGAUUUUGUAUUGCUUGAGACCUUAAAAGCUCACUGUACAUUUUUCGUGUCUUUUUUAAUGCACUUCUCGUUUAACAAGUCAACAUCAGCUUCUUUUGUUGUAAAAGGGUCAUUGGAAGGUGGCUUUCUUUUCGGAGAAAGUGUUUAUAGCCUUUGGCCUCUGCAAUCGGAGAGACUGAGGUCUGCAGCGUAGACUCUUCGGGGUUAGAUACAUUUGUGCUAAGUUAUAGCUUUUUAUAGACAACUUGUUGACUAUAAUUAGUCUUGUAGCUUACUCGCUUAUGCUAUUUUACCUACGCUUAGGAUGUUGAGUAGCGACAUACGCACAUGCUCGAUGAUAGUCUGUACACGCUGUGACUAGCAUAUCAAUAAGCGGAGGAAAAGGAGUAUACCUACGCUUAGGAUGUUGAGUAGCGACAUACGCAC
rnacentral:rRNA from 1 species